AGGAGCCAUAUGAGGUGAAAAUCUCAUGUAUGGCUCUUUAGAGUGGUAGUGAAAAGGUGGCUUAUCUAUGU
rnacentral:ncRNA from 1 species